GACAGAGGGGGCAAGCGUUGCUCGGAAUCACUGGGCGUAAAGGGCGCGUAGGCGGGAGAGCAAGUCAGUCGUGAAAUCCUCCGGCUCAACCGGAGAAUGUCGGCUGAUACUGCCCUUCUUGAGGGAUGCAGAGGAGACUGGAAUUCCCGGUGUAGCGGUGAAAUGUGUAGAGAUCGGGAGGAACACCGGUGGCGAAGGCGGGUCUCUGGGCAUUUCCUGACGCUGAGGCGCGAAAGCGUGGGGAGCAAACGGGAUUAGAUACCCCGGUAGUCCACGCUGUAAACGAUGACGACUAGGUGUGGGGGGGUUCAGUCCUUUCCGUGCCGCAGCUAACGCAUUAAGUCGUCCGCCUGGGGAGUACGGCCGCAAGGUUGAA
rnacentral:rRNA from 1 species